rnacentral:tRNA from 1 species
GAAGGUAUAGCUCUGUGGUACAGUGCAUGCUUAGCAUGCACAAGGUCCUGGGUUUAAUCCCCAGUAUCUCCA